rnacentral:tRNA from 1 species
CGUACAUUGGUGUAAAUGGUUAGCACACUUGGCGCGAAAACAAAGAGAUGUGGGUUCUAUUCCUACGCGUACGG